rnacentral:lncRNA from 1 species
UUUGGACUGCAUAUUAUAUGAAAGAAAAAAAAAUUUGGCAAAGCAGUAAAAAAUAGAAAAUCCUACAUAGUUACUACCAAACUUCUUACAACAGUUGUCUAAAGUUUUUCCUACUGGAAUGAUUGAACAAUGGCCCUAUUUGUAUUAAUUUGCAUAUUUUUUUAUACAAACUAUUGGUUUUUUUACCCUAAAAAUUAAUAAAUCAAUAUUAGAUCUUGUAGAAUUUUAUAAAAAUUUCAGUACGAAGAGUUACAAUGAUCUUUAAUGGAGACUUUAAAAAAAGUGAACUCUUUCUAUAAAAUCUUAAUGUUUUUUUUAAUUAUUUGGGUUGCUGUCUAAUCUCAGUACAUAUUUAUGGGGAAUCAAUUCAGAAAUAUUUUUUCUUAUAUCAGAUACAUUAUACAAUUUUUCAUUCAUAUAUCCAUAGAAAAUUUCACCAUAAAAAGCAGAUACAUCAAUACAACAGUAAAAUAAUUCAGUAACAUUCUGAUACUUGUUAGAGUUAUCUCUCUUUAACUGUGUUUUCUCAUUCACACAGGCAAACAAAUGUGCUCAAAAUUACAUGGACAUUUUUGCAAUAUAAAUGUUAAAUGCAAAAGUAACAAAAAGUAUAUGCUUGUAUAAAAAGCUGACAAUCAACAUCAAAUUUGUUACAUUAUAUAACAGCAAAAACUUCUAUAAAAUUUGUACAGUUAAUUGUCUACCAAAGUUUGUACAGUUAAUAAUCUACCAAAAGUUUGUACAGUUAAUAAUCUACCAAACAUUUGUACAUUUACAGUAUACUUCAUAGAGGUAGUUAAACAGCUAACUAUACAUGUUUAUCAACAUACAGCUAAAUGCACCAACAAAUUGACAUUUCUGCUACAAAUUUGUAAACUUUAAAUCCAUCAGAAAAAAGAGGACUAAAAAGGAGAAGGUUUGAAUUAAGUAAAUAAAUUCACUGAUUUUAUUUCAAUUAAUAAAUUCAAUAAAAACAAUUUGCAAAAUUUUUUAUCUGAAAUAAGGGAUAUUUACUCAGUUCAUGCUUCCUAAUUUUUCACAAAUGUAUAGAAUAAUUGGAUAUAAGUUUUUAAGAUUGAAAAGUUAUGUGUGUUCCCCAAGCUUAAUUUAAUCAGUGACUGAUAUGUCAACGAACCGUUUUAUAACAUAGAAAAUUAGUGACUACAGUUCAAAUACUAAUCAUGAUCUUCAGUUUAUACAAAACAUGUAUCUUACAUCAGCAUAGAGAAAUGUAAUGAAGAUACAGCACAGCUUUACUACUAAAUUUGAUAUUAAAUACUGGAGUAAAAAAAGAACUCUCACUCA